rnacentral:rRNA from 1 species
GGGGCGUGAGAGCGUGGCCCCCCACACUGGUACUGAGACACGGACCAGAUACCUGCGGGUAGCAGCAGCAAGGAAUAUUGCGCAAUGGGCGAAAGCCUGACGCAGCAACGCCGCGUGGAGGAUGAAGGCCUUCGGGUUGUAAACUCCUUUUCUGGGGGAAGAGAAAGGACGGUACCCCAGGAAUAAGUCUCGGCUAACUACGUGCCAGCAGCCGCGGUAAAACGUAGGAGGCGAGCGUUAUCCGGAUUUAUUGGGCGUAAAGCGCAUGUAGGCGGUUUUCUAAGUCGGACGUGAAAGCUCCUGGCUCAACUGGGAGAGGUCGUUCGAAACUAGGAGACUUGAGGAUGGUAGAGGAGAGUGGAAUUCCCGGUGUAGUGGUGAAAUGCGUAGAUAUCGGGAGGAACACCAGUGGCGAAGGCGGCUCUCUGGACCAUUCCUGACGCUCAGAUGCGAAAGCUAGGGGAGAGAACGGGAUUAGAAACCCCGGUAUUCCUAGCCGUAAACGAUGUCAACUAGGCGUAGGGGGUUAUUGACCCCUCCUGUGCUGCAGCUAACGCAUUAAGUUGACCGCCUGGGGACUACGGCCGCAAGGCUAAAACUCAAAGGAGUUGACGGGGACCCGCACAAGCAGCGGAGCGUGUGGUUUAAUUCGAGCUACGCGAAGAACCUUACCAGGGUUUGACAUGCUGGUGGUAGUGAAACGAAAGUGGAACGACCCUUCGGGGAGCCAGCACAGGUGCUGCAUGGCUGUCGUCAGCUCGUGCCGUGAGGUGUUAGGUUAAGUCCUGUAACGAGCGCAACCCUCGUCGUUAGUUAUAUGUGUCUAACGAGACUGCCGGUGAUAAGCCGGAGGAAGGUGGGGAUGACGUCAAGUCAGCAUGGCCUCUAUAUCCUGGGCUACACACACGCUACAAUGGCCGGUACAAUGGGCAGCUAAGUCGCGAGACGGAGCCAAUCCUCUAAAGCCGGUCUCAGUUCGGAUUGUAGGCUGCAACUCGCCUGCAUGAAGUCGGAGUUGCUAGUAAACGCACGUCAGCACAGUGCGUUGAAUACGUUCCCGGGUCUUGUACACACCGCCCGUCACGUCAUGGAAGUUGGCAACGCCUAAAGUCAGUGAGCUAACCCUAACGGGAGGCAGCUGCCUAAGGCGGGGUCGGUAACUGGGACGAAGUCGGAACAGGGUAGCUGUAGCGGAAGCUGCGGCUG